CAGAGUGACUUUGCAGUCUAGCGAGUGGUACUGAGCAUGCGCAGUGAUCAGCCUUUCCUGGAUCCCGUUUUUUUUAAGUGGAAGCGCGAAACAUUUAUAGCUUAUAAAAAGAAAUUAGAAACUUCGAAAUUUGUUUAAAUUUGUGGUCUGUUGAAGUUACAAAGUACCCGUGGCAAUUGUCUUUCAUUCAGAGAACAAUUGUGUGGGUUGUUACAGGGUGAGCACUGAGAUUCCUUACCAAUUCACUUAUGUUUCAACUAAACAUGAAGGGAUCACGAGGGGAUAAAACAUCAUUUGACAGCGCUGUGCAAAUUAAUAACUGACAGUGUAGUAAAGGCGCAUGAUGUUACAGAAGCCUUUGCCCUCAGCACCAUUGCCAAUAAUCCUUGCACCUAAGAGGAAAGAAAGGCUGGAUGCAGUGUCAUUUAUUAAGUGUUAAGUAAAUGUUUUUGUAAUUUUGUUUCUUUUGCUGUUUGAGACAGUUUUCUAUCUUCUCUUAGAUGUUUUGUUGGUUUAAUUAGUCAUUUAAGUAUUCACAUUUUUAUGGUAUUUUAGUAUUAUGCACUACACCCAGUUUUUAUGUGCAUUUUGUAUUGUUUGUUUUGAAAUAUGAAUAAAUUAUUGGUUAUUACAA